UUUUACCUCUCCGCUUUUAUCUCUCCUUUCUCUGCUUCUUUCUCCUCUCUGCUUUUAUAUCUCCUUUCUGCUUUUAUCUCUCCUUUCUCAGCUUCUCUCCCCUCUCUCCUUCUCUGUUUUUCUCUCUCCUCUCUGCUUUUAUCUCUCCUUUCUGUUUUUCUCUCCUCUCCUUCUCUCUCCCGUCUCCUUCUCUCCCCUCUCUGCUGUUCUCCCCCGUCUCCCCUCGCACCGCCCGCCCCCCCCUGCCCCCGCCUCUGUUCCUGCUCUGUUCCCUCGCACCGCCCGCCCCCCCCUGCCCCCGCCUCUGUUCCUGCUCUGUUCCCUUACAAACCCUGACUCCUGUCUCUGUUCUUCCUUCUCCUUCUCCCUCCAUCCUCCCGCCCGUCCCGACCCUGCAGCCUCCCGUUAUCCUCGCCUGUGCCCGCUCUUAC
rnacentral:lncRNA from 1 species